AACGGGAGUAGCUGCCUGGGCGCCGAAGGUCGCGGCACUCCCACGCGGACCACGAAGUCCGCAACCCGGGGAUGGGCCCGCGGCUGCGAGGACAAAGCAACAGUAAUUCAGAUACCUGCGCAGAAUUUCGAAUAAAAUAUGUUGGUGCCAUUGAGAAACUGAAACUCUCUGAGGGAAAGGACCUUGAAGGGCCAUUAGACCUGAUAAAUUAUAUAGACGUUGCCCAGCAAGAUGGAAAGUUGCCUUUUGUUCCUCCGGAGGAAGAAUUUAUUAUGGGAGUUUCCAAGUAUGGCAUAAAAGUAUCAACAUCAGAUCAAUAUGAUGUUUUGCACAGGCAUGCUCUCUACUUAAUAAUCCGGAUGGUGUGUUACGAUGAUGGUCUGGGGGCGGGAAAAAGCUUACUGGCUCUGAAGACCACAGAUGCAAGCAAUGAAGAAUACAGCCUGUGGGUUUAUCAGUGCAACAGCCUGGAACAAGCACAAGCCAUUUGCAAGGUUUUAUCCACCGCUUUUGACUCUGUAUUAACAUCUGAGAAACCCUGAAUCCUGCAGUCAAGUAGAAACCAACUUCAUCUGAAAGUUCAGCUGUUUUCAAACUGCAAUGCUGAAGUGUUAUGCAAAUAAUGAAGCGAUCCCUUGCUCUAGAUUUUCUGAAGAAAAUGGAUUGUGUAAAAUGCUGAUCAUUUGUUUAUUAAAAUGUGUCCUAUUACACAGUGAGUUAACUCUCAAUGAAGUCAUCUACUUUCUGGGAUAAAAAAACUUCAUUUGUCUUUUUCAAGUUCUAAUAAGCUUAACCUAAGUGUCACAGAAGCCUAGGUGUCACAGAGGUCCACUCAGUGACACACACACACUGAAGGCCUGCCUG
rnacentral:sRNA from 1 species